AAUAUAAUAUUGAAUGAAUUGAAGCCUAGCUCGAUCUAGUCUGCCAUUGCUGGCAGACUAGAUCUAGCUAGGCUUCAAUUCAUUCAAUAU
rnacentral:pre_miRNA from 1 species